UACGGAGGAUGCAAGCGUUAUCCGGAAUGAUUGGGCGUAAAGCGUCCGCAGGUGGCAAUGUAAGUCUGCUGUCAAAGCGUCUGGCUCAACCAGAUAAAGGCAGUGGAAACUACAUAGCUAGAGUAAGGUAGGGGUAGAGGGAAUUCCUGGUGUAGCGGUGAAAUGCGUAGAGAUCAGGAAGAACACCGGUGGCGAAAGCGGGUCUCUGGGCAUCUCCUGACGCUGAGGCGCGAAAGCGUGGGGAGCAAACGGG
rnacentral:rRNA from 1 species